rnacentral:rRNA from 1 species
CAAUAGCGUAUAUUAAAGUUGUUGCAGUUAAAAGCUCGUAGUUGGAUUUCUGGUCGGGGCGACCGGUCGGCGUCCUUUGUGGCGUGUGCACUGUUGUCGGCCCCGCCCGAUCCCAUGCCUGGGAAACGGGAAAUGGUGUCUGGGCCUUCAUUGGUCGGAGACGGGAUCCGCCACGUUUACUGUGAAAAAUUAGAGUGUUUAAAGCAGGCGAUCGCUGUGAAUACAUUAGCAUGGAAUAAUGAGAUAGGACUUUGGUACUAUUUUGUUGGUUUGCGCACCAAGGUAAUGAUUAAUAGGGAUAGUUGGGGGUAUUCAUAUUCAAUUGUCAGAGGUGAAAUUCUUGGAUUUAUGGAAGAUGAACUUAUGCGAAAGCAUUUACCAAGGAUGUUUUCAUUAAUCAAGUAACGAAAGUUAGGGGAUCGAAGAUGAU